rnacentral:rRNA from 1 species
GUAAUCGCGGAUCAGCAUGCCGCGGUGAAUACGUUCCCGGGCCUUGUACACACCGCCCGUCACACCAUGAGAGUCGGGAACACCCGAAGUCCGUAGCCUAACCGCAAGGAGGGCGCGGCCGAAGGUGGGUUCGAUAAUUGGGGUGAAGUCGUAACAAGGUAGC